rnacentral:rRNA from 1 species
AUUGGCGGGGUAUGGCCCACCAAGGCGACGAUCGGUAGCUGGUCUGACCUUUAAACCAGCCACACUGGAACUGAGACACGGUCCAGACCUUUACGGGAGGCAGCAGUGGGGAAUAUUGGACAAUGGGGGCAACCCUGAUCCAGCCAUGCCGCGUGGGUGAAGAAGGCCUUCGGGUUGUAAAGCCCUUUUGUACGGGAAGAAAAGCGUCUGGUGAAUAUCCGGGCGUCAUGACGGUACCGUAAGAAUAAGCACCGGCUAACUUCGUGCCAGCAGCCGCGGUAAUACGAAGGGUGCAAGCGUUACUCGGAAUUACUGGGCGUAAAGCGUGCGUAGGUGGUUUGUUAAGUCUGAUGUGAAAUCCCCGGGCUCAACCUGGGAAUGGCAUUGGAUACUGGCAGGCUAGAGUGCGGUAGAGGGUGGUGGAAUUCCCGGUGUAGCAGUGAAAUGCGUAGAGAUCGGGAGGAACAUCUGUGGCGAAGGCGGCCACCUGGACCAGCACUGACACUGAGGCACGAAAGCGUGGGGAGCAAACAGGAUUAGAUACCCUGGUAGUCCACGCCCUAAACGAUGCGAACUGGAUGUUGGGUGCAACUUGGCACUCAGUAUCGAAGCUAACGCGUUAAGUUCGCCGCCUGGGGAGUACGGUCGCAAGACUGAAACUCAAAGGAAUUGACGGGGGCCCGCACAAGCGGUGGAGUAUGUGGUUUAAUUCGAUGCAACGCGAAGAACCUUACCUGGCCUUGACAUCCACGGAAUCCUUCAGAGAUGAGGGAGUGCCUUCGGGAACCGUGAGACAAGUGCUGCAUGGCUGUCGUCAGCUCGU